rnacentral:rRNA from 1 species
GUGGAUUAGAUACCCUGGUAGUCCACGCCCUAAACGAUGUCAACUAGUUGUUGGGGGAGUGAAAUCCCUUAGUAACGAAGCUAACGCGUGAAGUUGACCGCCUGGGGAGUACGGUCGCAAGAUUAAAACUCAAAGGAAUUGACGGGGACCCGCACAAGCGGUGGAUGAUGUGGAUUAAUUCGAUGCAACGCGAAGAACCUUACCUACCCUUGACAUGUCCGGAACUUGCCAGAGAUGGCUUGGUGCCCGAAAGGGAACCGGAACACAGGUGCUGCAUGGCUGUCGUCAACU